AAAAAAAAAAAAAAAAAAAAAUUCUACAAAAAGUGAAAUACAAUACGUGAAUUUAAAUAAAAAUGAACGAAAACAGAAGCACACAGAGCAAUAGAGAAUAAAACUGGUGGUUUGACAUGAUCUAGAAGACCCUGAUACCACCUGGAUCUUAUUAGUUCAGUCUGGACUAUCAAAAGAUCCCGAAGAACCAUAGCGACAAUACUAUAACAUGGUUGCAACAUGAAUCAAAGCUCUCUGAUAAAUAUCAUGAAAAAAUAUGUACAUUUGUUUUACAAUCAAAACGGUUGUUGGUCCUUUCCAGUUCAAUACUGUUGGUACUAAACAGGUCCAGUUUCACAAUAAACCACAGUACUUUCAGAUAUACCCGUACCUGUAGUGAGAGGUGAGCAUGUUCACCAACAAAAGUUUAUUAAAAUCCUAUGUGACAAAGAUAAACAAAAAUCAGUUGACAUUGGUGAUGUGGGUUAAGUGCAAAAAAAAAUAUCAAUAUGAAAUACAGUGAAAAAUAUUUCACAUAAUACAUUGUUGGAACAAGGAAUCUACUGCAAUCAGAGCAUAUUUCAUGAACCUUUGACUCAACAGUUCACAUACUGUUAAGAGUUUAAGAAAGCACUUUGAUUUGAGGAAAAUAACAAAAGACUAGCCUGUUUUACUCUCAUACGCCACCUAGUGGAUGCAUACACUCAUUACACACCCCCUUACACUGAGCUGUAUCUAACACCCCAUUCAGAUCACUGGUCAUCUCCUAUAAGGACGGAAGGCAGAGUAACAAACGAAGUGGGAUAUGGGGAAAUUCAGGGAAUUCCUGGAGGAUUAGGUUGGGCUGGGGUUAGGUGAGGAGGACAUGUUUGGAGGGAGUUAGAAACUACCAGGUAAGGGGGAUUAAGGGGAGAUGAGUCUUGGAGAAUCAGGUGGGGCUGGAGUUAGGUGAGGAGGACAGACGGAAAGUAAGGAACCCAGACUAGGGGAUGUUUGAAACUGCCAAGCUGCUGUCAGUCAGAGUCCACCGAUCCUCCGGUAGCUGUCGGCAUGAGCGGCCCUCUGUUCUGGCAUUGCAGCACCCUGGAGAGAGAAGGUAGGUACACUUCACCAGGGCUCACCCCCCCCCCCCCCAUCCAGGCCUCUAGUCUAGUCCUUUAACCUUCUCAAGGCAGGGCUAUGCAAUUAACUCUGCGGCUUUAGCUGUGCAAUCUGAGCACCAACCCCCAC
rnacentral:lncRNA from 13 species